rnacentral:rRNA from 1 species
GACGAACGCUGGCGGCGUGCUUAACACAUGCAAGUCGAACGGAAAGGCCCUGCUUUUGUGGGGUGCUCGAGUGGCGAACGGGUGAGUAACACGUGAGUAACCUGCCCUUGACUUUGGGAUAACUUCAGGAAACUGGGGCUAAUACCGGAUAGGAGCUCCUGCUGCAUGGUGGGGGUUGGAAAGUUUCGGCGGUUGGGGAUGGACUCGCGGCUUAUCAGCUUGUUGGUGGGGUAGUGGCUUACCAAGGCUUUGACGGGUAGCCGGCCUGAGAGGGUGACCGGCCACAUUGGGACUGAGAUACGGCCCAGACUCCUACGGGAGGCAGCAGUGGGGAAUAUUGCACAACGGGCGGAAGCCUGAUGCAGCAACGCCGCGUGCGAGAUGACGGCCUUCGGGUUGUAAACCGCUUUCGCCUGUGACGAAGCGUGAGUGACGGUAAUGGGUAAAGAAGCACCGGCUAACUACGUG